AAAGUACUUCCUCCGUCCAAAAAUACUUGUCAUCAAAAUGAGUAAAAGGGGGUGUAUCUAGAUGUAUUUUAGUUCUAGAUACAUACCUUUUUGUCCAUUUUAAUGACAAGUAUUUUUGGACGGAGGGAGUAGUUG
rfam:Triticum aestivum genome assembly, contig: Triticum_aestivum_CS42_TGACv1_scaffold_223531_3B